AUUGAACGCUGGCGGCAGGCCUAACACAUGCAAGUCGAACGGUAGCACAGAGAGCUUGCCCUCGGGUGACGAGUGGCGGACGGGUGAGUAAUGUCUGGGAAACUGCCCGAUGGAAGGGGAUAACUACUGGAAACGGUAGCUAAUACCGCAUAACGUCGCAAGACCAAAGUGGGGGACCUUCGGGCCUCACACCAUCGGAUGUGCCCAGAUGGGAUUAGCUAGUAGGUGGGGUAAUGGCUCACCUAGGCGACGAUCCCUAGCUGGUCUGAGAGGAUGACCAGCCACACUGGAACUGAGACACGGUCCAGACUCCUACGGGAGGCAGCAGUGGGGAAUAUUGCACAAUGGGCGCAAGCCUGAUGCAGCCAUGCCGCGUGUAUGAAGAAGGCCUUCGGGUUGUAAAGUACUUUCAGCGGGGAGGAAGGCGGUGAAGUUAAUAGCUUCACCGAUUGACGUUACCCGCAGAAGAAGCACCGGCUAACUCCGUGCCAGCCGCCGCCGUAA
rnacentral:rRNA from 1 species